rnacentral:rRNA from 1 species
AUACAGAGGGUGCAAGCGUUAAUCGGAAUUACUGGGCGUAAAGCGCGCGUAGGCGGCUUAUUAAGUCAGAUGUGAAAUCCCCGGGCUCAACCUGGGAACUGCAUCUGAUACUGGUAAGCUAGAGUUUGGGAGAGGGAAGUAGAAUUUCAGGUGUAGCGGUGAAAUGCAUAGAGAUCUGAAGGAAUACCAGUGGCGAAGGCGACUUCCUGGCCUAAAUCUGACGCUGAGGUGCGAAAGCGUGGGUAGCAAACGGGAUUAGAAACCCGGGUAGUCC